rnacentral:SRP_RNA from 1 species
GCUGGGCACGAUGGCACGUGCCUAUAGUCCCAGCUACUUGGGAGGCUGAGGCUGGAGGAUUGCUUGAGCCCAAGAGUUCUGGGCUGUUGUGUGCUAUGCCAAUCAGGUGUCUGCACUAAGUUUGGCAUCAAUAUGGUGACCUACUAGGAUCGAGGGACCACCAGGUGGCCUAAGGAGGGGUAAAUAGGCCCAAGUCGGAAAAGGAGCAGGUCAAAAUUCCCAUGCUGAUCAGUAGCAGACUGCGCCUGUGAAUAGCCACUGCACUCCAGCCUGGGCAACAUAGCAAGACCCUAUCCCU